AAGAGUUUGAUCCUGGCUCAGAUACUACUGGCGGCAUGCCUUACACAUGCAAGUCGAACGGUAGAGCCGCAACCCUCGAGAGUGGCGAACGGGUGAGUAAUGCAUCGGAACGUGCCCAGUCGUGCAGGAUAACACUUCGAUCAAGUGCUAAUACCGCAUACGACCUGAGGGUGGAAGCGGGGGACCGCAAGGCCUCGCGCGAUUGGAGCCGGCCGAUGUCAGAUUAGGUAGUUGGUGGCGGUAUAGGCACCAAGCCGACGAUCUGUAGCUGGUCUGAGAGGACGACCAGCCACACUGCAUCUGAGACACGGCCCAGACUCCUACGGGAGGCAGCAGUGGGGAAUUUUGGACAAUGGGCGCAAGCCUGAUCCAGCCAUGCCGCGUGCGGGAAGAAGGCCUUCGGGUUGUAAACCGCUAGUGUCAGCGAAGAAACGCUCCGGCAGCUAAUACCCUGGGGUAGUGACGGUACCUGAAGAAUAAGCACCGGCUAACUACGUGCCCUGGAUCUAAUACGUAGCUGCAAGCGUUAAUCGGAAUUACUCUCGUAAUGCGUGCGCACGCGGUUCUAUAAGACAGACAUAAUCCCGGGCUCAACCUGGGAACUGCCUUAUGUGACUGUAGGGCUAGAGUGCGGCAGAGGGAUGGAACCGCGUGUAGCAGUGAAAUGCGUAGAUAUGCGGAGCAGAACACCGAUGGCGAAGGCAAUCGCUGGGCCUGCACUGACGCUCAUGCACGAAAGCGUGACGAGCAAACAGGAUUAGAUACCCUGGUAGUCCACGCGAAACGAUGUCAACUGGUUGUUGGGAGCAUCUUCUCAGUAACGAAGCUAACGCGUGAAGUUGACCGCCUGCAUAGUACGGAGAAAGGUUGAAACUCAAAGGAAUUGACGCGGACCCGCACAAGCGGUGGAUGAUGUGGUUUAAUUCGAUGCAACGCGAACUCCUUACCUACCCUUGACAUGGCAGGAACCUUGGAGAGAUCUGAGGGUGCUCGAGAAGAACCUGCACACAGGUGCUGCAUGUCAUCACUCUCGUGUCGUGAGAUGUUGGGUUAAGUCGCGCAACGAGCGCAACCGCUUGUCAUUAGUUGCUACGAAAGGGCACUCUAAUGAGACUGCCGGUGACAAACCGGAGGUGGGGAUGACGUCAGGUCCUCAUGGAUGGGUAGGGCUACACACGUCAUACAAUGGCCGGUACAGAGAUCGCCAACCCGCGAGCAGAGCCAAUCCCAGAUACCGGUCGUAGUCCGGAUCGCAGUCUGCAACUCGACUGCGACAAUCAUCGCUAGUAAUCGCGGAUCAGCUUGGUAGGUGAAUACGUUCCCGGGUCUUGUACACACCGCCCGUCACACCAUGGGAGCGGGUUCUGCCAGAAGUCGUUAGCCUAACCGCAACACAUCGAUGACCACGGCAGGGUUCGUGACUGCAGUGAAGUCGUAACAAGGUCAAUCGCAUC
rnacentral:rRNA from 1 species